AAUUCCGGUGAAGAUGCCGGAUACCUGCGACAGGACGGAAAGACCCCAUGGAGCUUUACUGUAGCUUGACAUUGGGUCUUGGUACUACAUGUACAGGAUAGGUGGGAGGCUUUGAAACCAGGACGCCAGUUUUGGCGGAGCCAUCCUUGGGAUACCACACUUGUAGUACUGGGACUCUAACCAUAGGCCAUGAAUCUGGUCUUGGGACACUGUCAGGUGGGCAGUUUGACUGGGGCGGUCGCCUCCCAAAAGGUAACGGAGGCGCUCAAAGGUUCUCUCAGUACGG
rnacentral:rRNA from 1 species